rnacentral:rRNA from 1 species
UAGGGAAUCUUCCACAAUGGACGCAAGUCUGAUGGAGCAACGCCGCGUGAGUGAAGAAGGUUUUCGGACCGUAAAGCUCUGUUGUUGGUGAAGAAGGAUAGAGGUAGUAACUGGCCUUUAUUUGACGGUAAUCAACCAGAAAGUCACGGCUAACUACGUGCCAGCAGCCGCGGUAAUACGUAGGUGGCAAGCGUUGUCCGGAUUUAUUGGGCGUAAAGCGAGCGCAGGCGGAAGAAUAAGUCUGAUGUGAAAGCCCCCGGCUUAACCGAGGAAUUGCAUCGGAAACUGUUUUUCUUGAGUGCAGAAGAGGAGAGUAGAACUCCAUGUGUAGCGGUGGAAUGCGUAGAUAUAUGGAAGAAUACCAGUGGCGAAGGCGGCUCUCUGGUCUGCAACUGACGCUGAGGCUCGAAAAGCAUGGGUAGCGAACAGGAUUAGAUACCCUGGUAGUCCAUGCCGUAAACGAUGAGUGCUAAGUGUUGGGAGGCUUCCGCCUCUCAGUGCUGCAGCUAACGCAUUAAGCACUCCGCCUGGGGGAGUACGACCGCAAGGUUGAAAC